GGGAGAAGAAGCAUGGCUUAAUGUAGAAUAUCCAUUUUUAUCUUUGUUAUCUUCUUCAUCUCUAUCUUUCCUGUGAAUGGAAAAGCUAGGAGAUACAUAUAUUGAAGAAAGCAAAAUAUUCAAGGGAAAAUGUCGGUGGUUUAGGUCGUCGACCAAUUGUAGAAAUACUUGUAUGGAAUUGGAGAGCGCAAGUAAUGGAGCAUGCUUCUUCGGGAAGUGCGUCUGUAUUUACAAGCGUACGUAAUAAAUCCUUGAGGCCGAGCUAUCCAGAUAUAUACAAUGAGAUUAAUUGA